rnacentral:lncRNA from 1 species
AUGCUGCUAUGAAUCGCCUUUGUCCCAUGAUCCUGUGCUCACCAGUCCUACAAUUACCCUUUUCUUCCUAGACUUUAAAGUUGGGAUCAGACACAAGGAUACUUUGAUUUCUUUACCCUACACCAGCCACAGUAUCUGAUUUAAUAUAGGAGCUUAAUAUAACUUUAAUGAGGAGAUAAAUGGAUGAAGAAAGACAGGAGUGAAGAAAUGGAGUCACUGCAAAAAUAAAACAACAAAAGGAGCUUACCAGUGUGCAAGCCUCCGGAGCAGGGACAGGCGUUAGUAUAUUUUAUAUUUUUUAAUUGUGGUAGCAUACAAACCACAAGGUUGACUGUCUGUGCCAUCUUCAGGUGCACACUCAGGCUUCUCCAUCCUCAGUGCACACUCAGGUCUCCUCCAUCCUCAGGCACACACUCUGGUCUCCUCCAUCCUCAGUGCACACUCUGGUCUCCUCCAUUCUCAGGUGCACACUCAGGUCUCCUCCAUCCUCAGUGCAUACUCAGGUCUCCUCCAUCCUCAGGCACACACUCUGGUCUCCUCCAUCCUCAGUGCACACUCUGGUUUCCUCCAUUCUCAGGUGCACACUCAGGUCUCCUGCAUCCCCAGUGCACACUCAGGUCUCCUCCAUCCUCAGUGCAUACUCAGGUCUCCUCCAUCCUCAGGCACACACUCUGGUCUCCUCCAUCCUCAGUGCACACUCUGGUCUCCUCCAUUCUCAGGUGCACCCUCAGGUCUCCUGCAUCCUCAGUGCACACUCAGGUCUCCUCCAUCCUCAGUGCACACACAGGCUUCUCCAUCCUCAGUGCACACUCAGGCUUCUCCAUCCUCAGUGCACAUUCAGGCUUCUCCAUCCUCAGGUGCACACUCAGGUCUCCUCCAUCCUCAGGUGCACACUCAGGUCUCCUCCAUCCUCAGUGCACACUCAGGCUUCUCCAUCCUCAGGCACACACUCAGGUCUCCUCCAUCCUCAGUGCACACUCAGAUCUCCUCCAUCCUCAGGUGCACACUCAGGUCUUCUCCAUCUUCAAGUGUACACACUCAGAUAUUUGUGUCUGUGUUUCCCUGAUGAUCAGUGGUGGUGAACAUCUCUGCAUGCGCUUAUCAGCCACGGGUGAUACCUUAUAUUUUGACGAGGGGUUGAUGGUAGUUAGCCUCAUAGAUGGGCGUUUGAACUUUGUGGUCAAGCAACUCCGCUGCUGUGUUUCUGCCCUGAGUGGCUUGUUACUGUCUCCUCGUUACAUAUUGACCAGCUGUCAGUCUGGUGCCUGGAGCUUUGCACCUGUGAGCUCAUCCGAUUCUCA